rnacentral:rRNA from 1 species
UGCAGUCGAGCGGAACGAUCCUAGCUUGCUAGGAGGCGUCGAGCGGCGGACGGGUGAGUAAUGCAUAGGAAUCUGCCCGGUAGUGGGGGAUAACUUGAGGAAACUCAAGCUAAUACCGCAUACGCCCUACGGGGGAAAGCAGGGGCUCUUCGGACCUUGCGCUAUCGGAUGAGCUUAUGUCGGAUUAGCUGGUUGGUGAGGUAACGGCUCACCAAGGCGACGAUCCGUAGCUGGUCUGAGAGGAUGAUCAGCCACAUCGGGACUGAGACACGGCCCGAACUCCUACGGGAGGCAGCAGUGGGGAAUAUUGGACAAUGGGGGCAACCCUGAUCCAGCCAUGCCGCGUGUGUGAAGAAGGCCCUCGGGUUGUAAAGCACUUUCAGCGAGGAAGAAUGCUUGUCGGUUAAUACCCGGCAAGGGAGACAUCACUCGCAGAAGAAGCACCGGCUAACUCCGUGCCAGCAGCCGCGGUAAUACGGAGGGUGCGAGCGUUAAUCGGAAUUACUGGGCGUAAAGCGUGCGUAGGCGGCUUGAUAAGCCGGUUGUGAAAGCCCCGGGCUCAACCUGGGAACGGCAUCCGGAACUGUUAGGCUAGAGUGCAGGAGAGGAAGGUAGAAUUCCCGGUGUAGCGGUGAAAUGCGUAGAGAUCGGGAGGAAUACCAGUGGCGAAGGCGGCCUUCUGGACUGACACUGACGCUGAGGUACGAAAGCGUGGGUAGCAAACAGGAUUAGAUACCCUGGUAGUCCACGCCGUAAACGAUGUCGACUAGCCGUUGGGGGUCCUCGAGACCUUUGUGGCGCAGUUAACGCACUAAGUCGACCGCCUGGGGAGUACGGCCGCAAGGUUAAAACUCAAAUGAAUUGACGGGGGCCCGCACAAGCGGUGGAGCAUGUGGUUUAAUUCGAUGCAACGCGAAGAACCUUACCUAC